AUCACUUCUCAAGAGGCAUUAGUGGGAUAAAAAGCAGACACUUUGCCAGUGUCCCUUUUCUCCACCCUUGAGUUUCAUGGGCACCCAUAAUUGCUGGUUUGGAGGCAAUGUUCUUGUCAUUGAAAGCUGAGAAUUUGCCCCACUCAUGUCCCUGAUUCCUUUAGCUUUUUACCUGUGGCCUUCCUAGUGGUAGCCUCCUCUCCCUGGAUCUAGCUUCAGCCCAGGCUGAUGGAGCCAGCAUCCACCUGGCCAAGAGAGAGGAGAGGGCUGAUUGGUGGGACACAGUGGGCAGCAUUUUCCUCACCAUGUACUGCAACCUUCCUAUUCCAUGGCCAGAAUUGGCUGAUCAUCAGUCCCAAAGCUGACCAGGCCGAGACCAAGAUGCCCACAGCACUUAGAGAUAAAAAAUGGAGCAAAUGCCACCCCCUGCUGGGAGGAAGAGCACUCAGGAGAGCGUUCUUUUCACUUGCUUCCAGACUCCCUCCCACAUGCCCUGCUGGCCCUGGGGUGGGGUGCAGCGGUAGGGAAGAAAGAGCGAGCCCUAAGAGUCCUCAGGACAGACAUCUAUUCUGCAGCCACAUGCCCCUCCCUGAAGAUAACCCACUUGAGCUCUUUUUACUAAACACCAUUGGCUCCCGUCCUCCCCCUGGCCUCCAAAUCGACUUUGGUCUGAUCAGGGUGAUGGAGAACUUUUUCUGAGGCUGGGUCUCUUGGGGACCAUGUCUGGUGGUUCAUCACUAUCCCAGGGAAGGUCGGGGUGGGGGUGGAAGAUGACGUCGAAUCAGUGAGAAAGGUCUGAGGGUGAGCAGGACCCGUUAGGCCAUCACAGGUGGGACAGCUCCCCCAAGGAGGAGGAAAACCAAGGCUUUCUAUGGUUGCCUAUCAGCGGAGAAGUGGGGCCAGCACUCUGCAGAGGACCUCAACACUCCCCCUUUCUAAACCAGGUUCCUCCUGGACCCACUUUCCUAACCCAGCGUGUGGCUGAUGAGAAUUUGCUGGGAGGCUAGUCACGCAAUAGCUUUGUAGACUGUGAAGUGCCGCGCAGGUAGGAGGGACUGUCGUGGCCAGCCGGGAUAGCCAACCCAGACGUCGAGAGGAGGACUUAAUCAGACAUUCAUUUGCCAGCCCAGAGUGAUCUUCUGCUUGCCUCCCUCUUUUCUACCUUCCUUGUGGCUUAACUCCAAACUCUGCCCCACCAGGGAAUGGGACAAGGGAAGGAGAUACAUCCGAAUCCCAAGGUGGGAGGUAAUAGUACACG
rnacentral:lncRNA from 1 species